GAACACCAAACAAAAUUAUGACAGUCUAGAAACUUUUGUCUUGUUAGACCCUAGUACAAAAUAAAAUGAAAUUAUUUUUAGCUUUAUAUACAAUUUUAUUCUACUUACUGGGAAAUGCAUAAAAGUUCUGAAAGUUAAAACUUAAAGGCUAACAUUCUAAUGCUAUUAAUGAAACCUUUGGUUCUUAUUGAUCACCCAUUAGCUCUGCUUAAAUGUAUCACACCAUUUAGAUAGACACUUCAGUUGUGCGGGUCCUGCUUGGUACAGACUGACACAUCUAUAAGUCUCUUGAAGUCAUCCCAAAGUAUUAAAGGCGGAGUACUUUCCAGGUAUACAGUGCCACUCUAUAGCACAAUCAAGUAACAAUGUUAACUUCAGCUCUUUCAAAAAUGCUAUUCAUAUCAAAUGUGAUUUAAAAGAAAUUUUGCCUUGAAAUUGGGUCUCUAUUACUUUAAAAACUCCUGCUCUUUCUGAAACUUUGCCUUCAUGAAGUCAUCACAAAAUGGCUCCUCAAUUAACCAUUUAGCAACAGUUUUAACCA